rnacentral:rRNA from 1 species
UACGGAGGGGGCUAGCGUUGUUCGGAAUUACUGGGCGUAAAGCGCACGUAGGCGGCUUUGUAAGUUAGAGGUGAAAGCCCGGGGCUCAACUCCGGAAUUGCCUUUAAGACUGCAUCGCUAGAAUUGUGGAGAGGUAAGUGGAAUUCCGAGUGUAGAGGUGAAAUUCGUAGAUAUUCGGAAGAACACCAGUGGCGAAGGCGGCUCACUGGACCGGUAUUGACGCUGAGGUGCGAAAGCGUGGGAGCAAACAGG